CAAAGAAGACCUCCAAGAUAACCAGCUUUUCCCUACUCCUCUGAAAAUCAGAUCUGAUGUAAUUGUGAAAGCCGCCUGCUUCCCCAGGAACAGUGUUCAUUAAGUACUUACUAUGCGACUUUGCUAAGUACUAAGGGUAUCAGGAAAAGUCCUGGGCAGCAUCUCAUCGCCAUCCCCACUUUGUAAUGCACAGAAUGCCUUUUUGCCAGUAGUUGACCUGCUCACAAUAUAAAAAGUGAAGAAGGGAGACUAAUCUGAUUGCAGCAAAGGGUCUGGGGAUUUCACUUGAGGAAUAUCAGUUCAAGAUCCACAGGGAGGAAUGAUGGCUAAGAGAAUCUCUCUCUCUCUCUCUCUCUCUCUCUCUCUCUCUCUCUCUCUCUCUCUCUCUCUCUCUCUCUCUCUCUCUCUCUCUCUUUCUCUCUCUCUCUCUCUCUCUCUCUCUCUUCAAUUAAAGAGUUCAACCAUCAUUAUUCCCUUGCACACCACCUGCAAAUCAUAAGCCAAAAGGUCCAACCUGAGUUGUAUAUGGCUUUUCCAGGAAUCAGGUGGACAGAAUCUGACGUUGGUGCCCAUGACACAACUGUGAGUGGGGCUUGGAGGGGAGCCCCGAAUCAGGAGCUGGCUCUGAUUCUCAGAGUUCUCCAACAGCCUUGACAGAAACUCUUUGACAGGUCAGGACUAUGAAACCUGAAGGGAGGCUUUGAACCUAACUGUGAAACCAUGAUCGUUGUUUACUAAGUCUAGAAUUAAGGACAUUUGCUACUAGAACUCAGGGGGAGUGACUAAAUCUAGGCAUCUGAACUAUAUAUGUGGGAAGUCUUGGGUAUCCAUCCCUAUAGCCCUGUGGUGGGCUUCUGGAGUCUGGAAGAAGCUGAAGGCAUGUAGUCCAAGUAGUAGUUGCAGUUGAAGGGAGAUUCGUAGACGGAGAUUUUCCUGGGCUGGAGGGCUUGCUGGGUGAGUGACUGAAACUGAAGGAGGAGGCUUACAUUGGUGGAUUUGUGGUUAAAGAUGCCACUGGGACUUCCAUGUGGAGAUCAAGACUUGAAAGAGCCCUUGCUGGGGGCUGAGAUGGACUUCACAGGAUCAGCACUUAUGUUGGUAGGCCAGACAAUUCUCUACCUCCUUCCUAUGUUUCCCACUUUACUUUAAUAUCUCUACCUUGUAAAUAAAAGCUGCUACAAUUUUUCUGA